rnacentral:lncRNA from 1 species
GAAGACCUUCAGUUUGACCCUUGCAUUGUAAUACCGAACUACUCUUUAUCGAUAUGUGGCCAUUCUUAUUUGAGCUUGCUGCCGAACCUCCUAGAGUAAGUCCAAACUGGCUCUUCGACAGUCGAAGUUACUUGGCUCUGCAAACUAUUUGACCCUUAUUGAUGGUAGUCCAAUCUCCAAUGAAAUCACUGCUUCCGUUCCAUAUGCAAAGUCAAACAGUGACUCUUCUGUUGGGAUGUGAGGAGUCGUCCGAUAAGUCCAUA